rnacentral:tRNA from 1 species
GCAGCCUGGAUAGCUCAGUUGGUUAAGAGCGUGGUGCUGAUGACACCAAGGUUGCAAGUUUGAUCCCUUCAUAUUCCUGCA